rnacentral:rRNA from 1 species
AGAUUGAACGCUAGCGGGAUGCUUUACACAUGCAAGUCGAACGGCAGCGCGGACUUCGGUCUGGCGGCGAGUGGCGAACGGGUGAGUAAUAUAUCGGAACGUGCCCAGUAGCGGGGGAUAACUACGCGAAAGCGUGGCUAAUACCGCAUACGCCCUACGGGGGAAAGGGGGGGAUCGCAAGACCUCUCACUAUUGGAGCGGCCGAUAUCAGAUUAGCUAGUUGGUGAGGUAAAGGCUCGCCAAAGGCGACGAUCUGUAGCUGGUUUGAGAGGACGACCAGCCACACUGGGACUGAGACACGGCCCAGACUCCUACGGGAGCAGCAGUGGGAAUUUGGACAA